GCAUCGUGGUAGCUAUUGCAUUGGGGUAGAGCCAAAAACACAUCAGCCGCCUGUAAGGCCGUAGCCUGCUGCCGAAAGCACUACACUGCUCUGAAGAUCAAAUCAGAAUACCAACCAGGAAUUUCUGGCUUUCUUUCUGACGUAACUCUCAGUCAUGCACCACUGUACCUUGAAAGUGACCGCUGAAGAAUGUUGAUUUGAAAAGGUUGUAAUGGGUUUUUCCUUUCUAUUCUGAGGCAACUUUCCACCAUCUAUGUACAGACUGUUUCCCUGACAGAAGGUGCUCUCAGCUGUCCACAGCCUAUUCAUCACUGCAACAGGCAGGCUGACUUAAUGUCUGCUAGCUCCGCAGAGAGACAGAUGUGAUGACGGAGCACACGGUUGGCUCGGGCAGCAGCACACACUGGGUGUUUCGCUGCCUUCUCUGGCUGAAAGUGUCAACCCUGUUCCACCUCUGGAUUCUGGAGGAACAACUGCACAUCACUGCAACAAGAGUUGGGAGUUCCCCCAAUCGAGGUCUGACAGAUGCUCAUCAGCUCCAUGCUCAUCUUCACAGCAAAAGACAACGCAUUGCUGAGUCAAACAACUUCCCCUGCCGGCACAGAGACAAUACACACAGCAUCUAAUCACACCAGAAGCUGCUGUCAAAUGUGCCAACAAGGUGGCUCAUUGUUAUAAAUGGAUGCUGAAGAUUUUGGCUCGGUGUGAUUCUCUCAGAGGCGUCCACCUUCAUCGUCUUUGUCAGCAGGUCGACGAAGCUGUCUGAGUCACACGGCAUCAGCACAGGCAUCUUCUCC